AAUAGAUACCCAGGUAGUCCACGCCGUAAACGAUGAGUGCUAAGUGUUGGGGGGUUUCCGCCCCCUCAGUGCUGCAGCUAACGCAUUAAGCACUCCGCCUGGGGGAGUACGGUCGCAAGACUGAAACUCAAAGGAAUUGACGGGGGCCCGCACAAGCGGUGGAGCAUGUGGUUUAAUUCGAAGCAACGCGAAGAACCUUACCAGGUCUUGACAUCCCGGUGAUCACUAUGGAGACAUAGUUUCCCCUUCGGGGGCAACGGUGACAGGUGGUGCAUGGUUGUCGUCAGCUCGUGUCGUGAGAUGUUGGGUUAAGUCCCGCAACGAGCGCAACCCUUAUUCUUAGUUGCCAUCAUUCAGUUGGGCACUCUAAGGAGACUGCCGGUGAUAAACCGGAGGAAGGUGGGGAUGACGUCAAAUCAUCAUGCCCCUUAUGACCUGGGCUACACACGUGCUACAAUGGACGGUACAAACGGUUGCCAACCCGCGAGGGGAGCUAAUCCGAUAAAACCGUUCUCAGUUCGGAUUGUAGGCUGCAACUCGCCUAC
rnacentral:rRNA from 1 species